rnacentral:rRNA from 1 species
UACGUAGGGUGCGAGCGUUAAUCGGAAUUACUGGGCGUAAAGGGCGCGUAGGCGGCGUUCCAAGUUAGGCGUGAAAGCCCCGGGCUCAACCUGGGAAUUGCGCUUAAGACUGGAAUGCUCGAGUGCGGAAGAGGUGAGUGGAAUUCCCAGUGUAGAGGUGAAAUUCGUAGAUAUUGGGAAGAACACCAGUGGCGAAGGCGGCUCACUGGUCCGCAACUGACGCUGAGGCGCGAAAGCGUGGGGAGCAAACAGG